GUCCAGAUUGUGGCUGAAGCUGAAUUUUAUGAGCCUUCCCCCAGCUCUCCUGUACUUCUUUUUCAGGUUGCUACUCUGAUCAAGGCUGACAGUUUGUCACACACUACUACUGCAGAGGCCAGAGCAUUUUGAAAGGCAAGAAACAGAACGGAAAUGGAGAGGAGAGCCCAGCAUGACUUGCGCCGUGCCAAAGGAAUACGUAGAAAUAUCUUGAAAGAGCCAGGUUGGUCCAGACCUGCUGGCAAGCCUGCAGCCCCAUCCACCGAUUACCUAAUACACUUGUGACAUCUGCUUUCCUUGUUGUGAGAAAACACAGGGAGGAAGUGUGUGCAGAAGGGGUGAUGCCUGACCUACACACCCGGCAAUACCAGAAGUUUCACUACCUUCCGUUGGUAAACGCUUCAGGGAAGGCUCUGCAACCCUGAACGUGUUUUAUUGUAGAACCUCACUAGGAAACUCAUCAGUAUUUAUUAAAGAUGAAUUAAAAGAAGGAGGAAAAGGAAAAACGGGAUAGUGAAGAGAAUAGAUGAAUGAAAAAGAAGCAAAGGGAAGAGAGGAGGAAGGGACAAAGAGGGCAAGAAAAGAGAAAAGAGAGAUGAGAGACCAGGACUUCCCACCUAACCUUACCAAACUUUUUCAGUUGAGCUUUUAAUGGGAUACUAUUCCCAAGAGGAAAUUCAAAAAGAAAACCACCUUGAAACAUCCUUGCUUUUAAUUGUACUCUUUCAACUGCCAGGAAAUUAAUUAGGUAAGACAAAAAGAAAAUUUUCUACCUUAAUAAAAAGAAGCCAACACCCAGGAACAACUGUCUUUGCUUGAGAACAGUGUUACGUGUACAAAGCUGCCUACAAAGUGUCUCCCGCCUGGCUCAGGCAAGAAACUGGGACAGAAGUCUGUGAUGUUAUACCAGCCUGGGAGUCGUGCAUGGUCAUGUCAGUGUCGAGUGCACCAGGCGACACAGGGACAUGCCAGGCACCGCUCCUCCAGAGAGACUUGCCAGGUAUACAUGUUACCUCUCUCCCUUAGGCUUCACAGACUCGGCGGCCUUCCUCCAACCACCUGUCUCCUUAGGAAGUUUGAGAGAACUUUCUCCUCUGUGAUACAAACAGUAACCAAACAAAGCAGUAAACAAUCCAGUGUGGAAAGCACAUACUAAAGCUAAGAUUUAAUGUCACUGAAAUAAAAUCAUAACAACAAAAAA
rnacentral:lncRNA from 1 species